GUUUCUCCAAACUAUAAUACUAAAAUGUUCGCAUUUCAGUAUAACCCCCCCUGAUCUUUUCAUGUUAAAACCAACAUCGUUUGACUCACCAUUUAAUCCGUGGGAAAAUAUGAAGUGGUCCAUCAACAUAUCAAUUGACCUUUUCAACUUCUAAAAAUAUUUAAACCUUUUCAAUUGCUCUAAAACUUUUUGUGCCAUAUUAUUGAGCUUGAUUUAUGUGCAAAGUAUCACAUCUCGCAAAAACCGUUUAGUAGCUACCUUAAUUAGAAAACAUAUAAGGUUUAAGUAAAGUCAGAAAAAUAAAAUGAAAUGAGGAAAGCCCCUGAGCACGUGGCCUCUCACUUCCCCUGUUCCAGGCCCAGCCCAUCUGGCCGGCCUUUCUCCUUUCUCUUGCCAGAGAAGGAGACAAUGCCAUGGCGUGGCGUCUGGCUGCCCGUCCAUGUGCCCGAUGCCGCCGUGUCGAUCAUCCGGUGAGCCCCGAGGUGUAUAAGGCCCUCCUCACCCCGUAGACGAACCCUAGAUGCUCUCCUCCUCUUCCUCUCGCGCCGCUUCUCCCUCACAGCACGAACCCGAGCGAAGUCGUCGCCGUGCCUUCGUGGCCAUGGUCAUCCCCGAGCGACGACAAGAUGUCUAGAGGCAGCGCCGUCCUCUUCUCCGUGGACUUCAACCACUGGACCAAGCCGGGAGGCCCUCGCGCGUCGCCAUCGCGCUCAUCUCCGCCUCUGCAUCUCGACAGCCGCCGUCGUCAAUUCGGCCGAUCCGCUGCAACCCCGAGCCCGCUGACCCUCACUGCCGCACCAAUUCAUCUAGGGUUUGGAUGGGUCUGGGUUCCUACAACGAUGGCAGUAGAGGCGACAAAGACCACUUUGCAACCUCGCCGAACUGUGUUACUGAACUGAAAGUUAGGGACGGCAGUAGUUCUACCACUGAUGGUGUUGCAUGUAAGCUGGAUGUUCUCAUUGUUCUGUUGGCUCUGAUCGGUGUGGAUGCUAUGAAGUUAAGGUUCUUAAGAUGAAUGAUGUUUAUAGAGGUGAUGCAGGAUGUGAGGUACAACUAUCAAAGUGACAUUAAUUUUGGUUUUGCUUCCUAUCCGCAGCCUCUUCUACACUAGAAAAGGAAAACACUCGACGAUCUGGCUCUGUCUCAGGUAUAUGCUCCCUCGCCCGCAAGUUCCGCUCUCUCCCAUCUACGCAUCACGCAACACUUCAGCUCCUCUUAUGGAUUCUCACCAGAUCAGGCCACCUCACUCACCUUCAAGUAAACCUUGAGCGACGACACAAUAUGUUUUCGCGAACUAAUCUUCUUUAGUCAACCUAUCGAUCCAUGUUGCGUGUGCUUCUUAAUCGACAUGUGAAUAAUCUGUUGAUGCAUGGAAAUACAUGCUGAUCUCCUAUUUUCUUGCUGCCUGCAAGAUAGUAUAUGCAUGAAUCUUGUUCAACUACAACAACCUGAAAGCCCUGUUAUUCUCAGAAAAAUUAUCAUCUACGGUUGUAUACAUAUGCCUCUUGAUAUUUACCAGCUCUCCUUUAAGAUUUCCUAACUAGCAUACAUAUCCUAGCUAAAACAUAAGAGUUCGAAUUUGUACAUGUGAACUGCACAUUAAGUUACUAUCACCAUUGUUUAAUAACACUGUUAAUUAUGACUCAGGUUUGUAAACAGUCAUCCAUACCAUAGGUACGUACGUUAAUGCAGAAGCACUACUAUUGAAUUAGAUGUAGUAACUGCGUCAUUCUGAACAUUUUAGCAAGUUCAUGCAUUAACCGCUUAGGGUCCAUCGAUGAAACAAAACCAAUCAUAUGAAUUGAAGGAGCUACUGAAAUAAAAUGGAAAGAACAAAGAGAAAAUUGAAGGUUAUCUAUAUGAAAAUUCAGAGAAUGAGAUAGGAGAGGUGGUUCUUCCCAAUAGGAAAAAGAGUGGAGUAUAGUACUGUUAUCCUACCUUUUCUACUACAAUCCCAGUUAGCAUAAUAAUGUGACAUGGAAAAUCAUAUUAUUGAUUCAAUUAUGAUUCAAGCAACAUGAAAAAUUAUCCGUGAAAUUCACUUCUAAACCCUGGUUUUAUUUAGUUUUAACUUCAGGAUAGGCAUUUACUGUAUUGUAAUUGCCAAACUUCCAAAAUUCUACUAUUACCAUUGUUUAACAACACCCUUUUUGUCACGGGAAAAUAAUAGAUGGAUAAACGUCUCAAAUCAUACACUAUGAAGCUUCCAACACUUGCUUACAGUGUCUUUCUUGUGUAAUCAGUCUGUCGUGAUGGACAAAGUUAAGAUCCCAACAAAAAGUGCUUCUUGAUACUAUGAUGCAACAACUUAACCUUCCAAAUUGCAGUUUACUAAACAGAAAGUGCUUCUUGAUGCUAUGAUACAGCUUCUUGAUGCUAUGAUGCAGAAACUUUAUGCUAUGGGCAAGUGAUUCAUGCUGCUCUUGGUUCUUCUGUACACUUGAAAUAAGGAACAAUAUUCCAAAGUAUGAUAGUGUUUGGUUAAAACAUAUACCUUAGUCCAGUACUUCAGUUUCUUCUUCUGAAGUUAUGUUCUGGUUUUCUACUUCUUUGCUCUGCUUUACACAAUUUACAUGGCUUUCGAGUCCUUUUAUUUAGGACUAGGGAAAAACCUCUAAUUGUUAACUUUGUAUUUUCGCACUGACUAGCGCAUAUCUUGCCUAAGCGCAGGCUUAAGCAAUGCGUUUUGUUCUGCCCUAGCGCCUAGGUGCUUACACCCUUUCCCCCUACUGAUUUAAGAGGUGUGGAGAUAUUUUAAGGAGGUGUUGCUAGCUUUGUUGUUCAGAUCACAGAAGAAGUAUGUACAAGUAUACAUCACCGCUGUUACUUGCUUGCAAUUAUAGUGUAUUUUAAAACACACACUUGGCGAACAUCUGCUCGUGCUUACAAUGCUCUAUGAGGGAAAUAAUAGAUCAACACUUGCUUUUUUGCUCCUUUCGAAGAGUUGUCAGGACCUCACCGGCAGAUCCCUCAGCUAUCAGGGAAAGCAGCCAUCAGCGGAGAUUGAGGGUGCCUCUCCGGCGAGAGUGCUCGUGUCGUGGUGGUUUCCCACCAGCGGCAUGGGGGAGGCGGUGUCCUCUGCCGCUAGGUCUACUUGCUGGCGACCUCACCGUCACCAACCCAUCUGUAGCCUACUUGAAUGGAUAUGGUUCCCGAGAGACCAUUUCUUAUGCAUCAGGUCCUGAAGGUGGAUGUUGCUUGUUUAGAUAUCUAUGGUUCCAAAUUAUUCAAAACGGUUCAUGUUAUGCUGGAUGCUAUUUUAUUGAGAGUGGCUUCGAACAAUAUGGCAUGAACAUAUUUGUUUUCUCUUUGGCCAAUAAUGAAAUGAUCUUUGUGCAUAUAAAAUGGUUAUCGAUACCA